CCUUUUUAUGGUGGUAGGCAAGAGGCGGAUCAUUGGCAGCUUUACAGUGUAAUAAUGAUCUUUGAAGCUAAUGGUUUGACACUGAUGGUUACCGCCUUCACCUAAUCAAUGCAGUUAGGCGGGUAUCAUUGUUCUAUCUCACCAACGGGAUACCAUAAAAGCUAAUACAGAUUCAACAGUGAAGCUUCGAGUAAAGCUAACUUCGAUCCACCCAAGGGAAAACAAAUCAUAAGACAAUUCAAAUUCCCUUCGCCAGUAGCAGAAGCUACGGCGUGUUGAGUAAGUAUGGUGAACUGCGUCAUCAGCGCCUUCGAUUUCAGCGAUUAUGCAUCAAUGUUAAGUGACAGCAAUUCGUGGUGAGAUUCGUGGCUCAAUUAAAUAAAAAAAUAAAUAAAAUGUAAUUUACAAUAUAUUAAAAU